GUGGGGAAUAUUCCGCAAUGGACGAAAGUCUGACGGAGCAACGCCGCGUGAGUGAUGAAGGUUUUCGGACUGUAAAGCUCUGUUGUUUAGGACGAAAGUGCCUGUUGCGAAUAGUUACAGGUAUUGACGGUACUGAACGAGGAAGCCACGGCUAACUACGUGCCAGCAGCCGCGGUAAUACGUAGGUGGCAAGCGUUGUCCGGAAUUAUUGGGCGUAAAGAGCAUGUAGGCGGGAAUCUAAGUCUGUUGUGAAAAUGCGGGGCUCAACCCCGUAUUGCGAUGGAAACUGGGUUUCUUGAGUGCAGGAGAGGAAAGGGGAAUUCCCAGUGUAGCGGUGAAAUGCGUAGAUAUUGGGAGGAACACCAGUGGCGAAGGCGCCUUUCUGGACUGUGUCUGACGCUGAGAUGCGAAAGCCAGGGUAGCGAACGGGAUUAGAAACCCCGGUAGUCC
rnacentral:rRNA from 1 species